rnacentral:rRNA from 1 species
GAUGUUGAUCCUGGCUCAGGAUGAACGCUAGCGGCAGGCUUAACACAUGCAAGUCGAACGGUAACAGGAGAGCUUGCUCUCGCUGACGAGUGGCGCACGGGUGCGUAACGCGUAUGCAACUUACCUCUAUCUAAGGGAUAGCUCAGAGAAAUUUGAAUUAAUACCUUAUAAUAUCUAUUUUUCGCAUGUUAGAUAGAUUAAAGUUUUUCGGAUAGAGAUGGGCAUGCGUGAUAUUAGCUAGUUGGUAGGGUAAUGGCUUACCAAGGCUUCGAUAUCUAGGGGGUCUGAGAGGAUGAUCCCCCACACUGGUACUGAGACACGGACCAGACUCCUACGGGAGGCAGCAGUGAGGAAUAUUGGACAAUGGGCGAAAGCCUGAUCCAGCCAUGCCGCGUGUAGGAUGAAUGCCCUAUGGGUUGUAAACUACUUUUGUAUAGGAAGAAACCUCUUUAUUCAUAAAGAGCUGACGGUACUAUAAGAAUAAGCAUCGGCUAACUCCGUGCCAGCAGCCGCGGUAAUACGGAGGAUGCGAGCGUUAUCCGGAUUUAUUGGGUUUAAAGGGUUCGUAGGCGGGAGAAUUAGUCAGUGGUGAAAGCCUGCAGCUUAACUGUAGAACUGCCAUUGAUACUGUUCUUCUUGAAUAUAUAUGAAGUGGGCGGAAUGCGUCAUGUAGCGGUGAAAUGCACAGAUAUGACGCAGAACACCGAUAGCGAAGGCAGCUCACUAAUAUAUUAUUGACGCUCAGGAACGAAAGCAUGGGGAGCGAACAGGAUUAGAUACCCUGGUAGUCCAUGCCGUAAACGAUGAUUACUCGAUGUUGGUUUACCAGUGUCUAAGCGAAAGUUAUAAGUAAUCCAC